AACAGAGACAAGAGGAACUAUCUUUAACUAGACUGUAGUCACCCACGAGCUCCAGUGGACACAUACUAGGAGAUUAAAGUUACUUUCAUGUCUGCUAAUACAGCAUCUAUUCUGUAGCCCAUGGAUCAAGGAGUUAUCUUCUUGUUUUACCAUUUAAGAAACACAUUUUGGAGCCGGGCUUGAUGGCUCACGCCUGUAAUGUGAUCUGAAGGAAUAAGGGUAUUCCCAGAGGAAAGACAAAACAAAUUCACCCCCACUACACAUACAUACAUCCCUAUCUGAAGAAAAACAUGGCAAGACCCCAUCUCUACCAAAAAAAAAAAAAAAAAGUAGCUAGGCAUCAGG
rnacentral:lncRNA from 1 species